rnacentral:rRNA from 1 species
AAUAAAAUCUGAGCGGGGUUGUCGCUGGCCUUCAGAGGGGCAUGUGCACGUCUCGUUCGUUUUUUAAUUUUACACCCCUGUGCACUUCUCAUAGGUCGGGCGGCGACGCCCUUCCUGUGUGUUUCAUUACCCACGUUUAUAGUGUUAGAAUGUCACUGCGAUGCAUAGAUUGCAUACAAUACAACUUUCAGCAACGGAUCUCUUGGCUCUCGCAUCGAUGAAGAACGCAGCGAAAUGCGAUAAGUAAUGUGAAUUGCAGAAUUCAGUGAAUCAUCGAAUCUUUGAACGCACCUUGCGCUCCUUGGUAUUCCGAGGAGCAUGCCUGUUUGAGUGUCAUGGUAUUCUCAACUCUUCUGUGUGUUUUUUUUUCUUCAAUGAAAAAAGAAUAACAAUGCAGUCGAGUUUGGAUGUGGAGGUUUUUUUGCUGGUGUUUCAACUUUGUUUUGAACGCCGGCUCCUCUGAAAUGCAUUAGCUUGAAUAUUUUACUGAGCRUGUGAUCCGGCGUGAUAAUUGUCUACGUCGUUUCAGUCUCGGUGUUUCAAUAAAUGUUCUAGCUUCGAGCCGUCCCUUUGGACAAUGUGUAUCUGAACGUCUGACCUCACAUCAGGUAGGACUACCCGCUGAACUUAAGCAUAUCAAUAAGCGGAGGAAAAGAAACUAACAAGGAUUCCCCUAGUAACUGCGAGUGAAGCGGGAAAAGCUCACAUUUAAAAUCUGGCAGCUUCGGCUGUCCGAGUUGUAGUCUGGAGAAGCGUUUUCUGUGCUGGACCGUAUACAAGUCUCUUGGAACAGAGCGUCGUAGAGGGUGAGAAUCCCGUCUUUGAUACGGACUGCCAGUGCUAUGUGAUGCGCUCUCAAAGAGUCGAGUUGUUUGGGAAUGCAGCUCAAAAUGGGUGGUAAAUUCCAUCUAAAGCUAAAUAUGGGCGAGAGACCGAUAGCGAACAAGUACCGUGAGGGAAAGAUGAAAAGCACUUUGGAAAGAGAGUUAAACAGUACGUGAAAUUGCUGAAAGGGAAACGCUUGAAGUCAGUCGCGUCGACCAGAACUCAGCCUGGCUUUGGCCUGGUGCAUUUUCUGGUAGACGGGCCAGCGUCAGUUUUGAUCGUUGGAAAAAGGCCUUGGGAAGGUGGCACCCUCGGGUGUGUUAUAGCCCAAGGUCACAUACAGCGGUUGGGAUUGAGGAUCUCAGUACGCCUUUACGGUCGGGGUUCGCCCACGUUCGUACUUAGGAUGCUGGCGUAAUGGCUUUAAACGACCCGUCUUGAAACACGGACCAAGGAGUCUAACAUGCCUGCGAGUGUUUGGGUGCAAAACCCGAGCGCGCAAUGAAAGUGAAAGUUGGGAUCCCUGUCGCGGGGAGCACCGACGCCCGGACCAGACCUUCUGUGACGGCUCCGCGGUAGAGCAUGUAUGUUGGGACCCGAAAGAUGGUGAACUAUGCCUGAAUAGGGUGAAGCCAGAGGAAACUCUGGUGGAGGCUCGUAGCGAUUCUGACGUGCAAAUCGAUCGUCAAAUUUGGGUAUAGGGGCGAAAGACUAAUCGAACCAUCUAGUAGCUGGUUCCUGCCGAAGUUUCCCUCAGGAUAGCAGAAACUCAUGUCAGAUUUAUGUGGUAAAGCGAAUGAUUAGAGGCCUUGGGGUUGAAACAACCUUAACCUAUUCUCAAACUUUAAAUAUGUAAGAACGAGCCGUCACUUCAUUGGACCGCUCGGCGAUUGAGAGUUUCUAGUGGGCCAUUUUUGGUAAGCAGAACUGGCG